rnacentral:rRNA from 1 species
AAAUUGAAGAGUUUGAUCAUGGCUCAGAUUGAACGCUGGCGGCAGGCCUAACACAUGCAAGUCGAACGGUAACAGGAAACAGCUUGCUGUUUCGCUGACGAGUGGCGGACGGGUGAGUAAUGUCUGG